CCCACCAUCCAUUGUAAUGGCAAGGUCCUUAGUGGAGCUUGAUGAUAAUAGUGGAGCAAUUUUUGGUGUUUUCUUUAGCAAGGAAAUUUCAGGACGAAGAUAAACGUGAUGGGGGUGGUGAUGGUGGCGUCCGCAGUGCUGCUUGCGGUGGAGGAGGUGGUUGUGGUGGUGGAGGUUGUGGUGGUGGAGGUUGUGGAGGUGGUUAAAUAAAUUAAGGAUACCUAGUGUUAUCUGUUCUUUUUACUGUCUGUAUUAAUAAGGGCAAUUUAUUUUGCUGUACAUGUUUGUGAUGUGUCCUAUUUGUACAUGGGUGGAGGUUUGUAUGAUAUUUAAGUAUGAGAAAAGUUAGUCAUUGCAGUUUC